rnacentral:rRNA from 1 species
GACGAACCGUACGACCGUUAUUCGGAAUUACUGGGCUUAAAGGGUUUGUAGGCGGCCUUGUAAGUCAGGUGUGAAAUCCCUCGGCUCAACCGAGGAAUGGCGCUUGAUACUGCAAGGCUUGAGGGAGACAGGGGUAAGCGGAACUGAUGGUGGAGCGGUGAAAUGCGUUGAUAUCAUCAGGAACACCGGUGGCGAAAGCGGCUUACUGGGUCUCUUCUGACGCUGAGGAACGAAAGCUAGGGUAGCGAACGGG